UAGUCCACGCCGUAAACGAUGUUCACUCGCUGUUGGCGAUAUACUGUCAGCGGCCAAGCGAAAGCAUUAAGUGAACCACCUGGGGAGUACGAUCGCAAGGUUGAAACUCAAAGGAAUUGACGGGGGCCCGCACAAGCGGUGGAGCAUGUGGAUUAAUUCGAUGAUACGCGAGGAACCUUACCUAGGCUCUAAUGUUAGCGCAAUCUGGUGAAAGCCGGAGUUCCUUCGGGACGCGAAACAAGGUGCUGCAUGGUUGUCGUCAGCUCGUGCCGUGAGGUGUUGGGUUAAGUCCCGCAACGAGCGCAACCCCUAUCACUAGUUGCCAGCAUUAAGUUGGGGACUCUAGUGAGACUGCCCGCGUAAGCGGCGAGGAAGGUGGGGACGACGUCAAAUCAUCAUGGCCUUUAUGCCUAGGGCUACACACGUGCUACAAUGGUGCAUACAGAGGGUUGCGAAGCCGCGAGGUGGAGCUAAUCUCAGAAAGUGCAUCCCAGUUC
rnacentral:rRNA from 1 species